rnacentral:rRNA from 1 species
GACGAACGCUGGCGGCGUGCCUAAUACAUGCAAGUUGAGCGCUGAAGGUUGGUACUUGUACCGACUGGAUGAGCAGCGAACGGGUGAGUAACGCGUGGGGAAUCUGCCUUUGAGCGGGGACAACAUUUGGAAACGAAUGCUAAUACCGCAUAAAAACUUUAAACACAAGUUUUAAGUUUGAAAGAUGCAAUUGCAUCACUCAAAGAUGAUCCCGCGUUGUAUUAGCUAGUUGGUGAGGUAAAGGCUCACCAAGGCGAUGAUACAUAGCCGACCUGAGAGGGUGAUCGGCCACAUUGGGACUGAGACACGGCCCAAACUCCUACGGGAGGCAGCAGUAGGGAAUCUUCGGCAAUGGACGAAAGUCUGACCGAGCAACGCCGCGUGAGUGAAGAAGGUUUUCGGAUCGUAAAACUCUGUUGGUAGAGAAGAACGUUGGUGAGAGUGGAAAGCUCAUCAAGUGACGGUACUACCCAGAAAGGGACGGCUAACUGCGUG